UUAUCGCAACUUAUCGAUCGGGUGGCGGAUAUAGAUCAUUGGUUAUCCCUUAAUUAAAGCAAACAAGAUUUGUUUCGGCCGCCCGAUUUUACAUACAACGACACG
ensembl:ncRNA mir-4940 mir-4940 stem loop